rnacentral:rRNA from 1 species
UGGGGAAUAUUGCACAAUGGGCGAAAGCCUGAUGCAGCGACGCCGCGUGAGUGAGGAAGUAUUUCGGUAUGUAAAGCUCUAUCAGCAGGGAAGAAAGAAAUGACGGUACCUGAGUAAGAAGCUCCGGCUAAAUACGUGCCAGCAGCUGCGGUAAUACGUAUGGAGCAAGCGUUAUCCGGAUUUACUGGGUGUAAAGGGAGCGUAGGCGGCAGAGCAAGUCUGAUGUGAAAGCCCGGGGCUCAACCCCGGUAGUGCAUUGGAAACUGUUCAGCUUGAGUGUCGGAGGGGUAAGCGGAAUUCCUGGUGUAGCGGUGAAAUGCGUAGAUAUCAGGAAGAACACCGGAGGCGAAGGCGGCUUACUGGACGAUUACUGACGCUGAGGCUCGAAAGCGUGGGGAGCGAACAGGAUUAGAUACCCUGGUAGUCCACGCUGUAAACGAUGAAUACUAGGUGUCGGUACCCGAAGGGUAUCGGUGCCGUCGCAAACGCAUUAAGUAUUCCACCUGGGGAGUACGUUCGCAAGAAUG